UUUAAUUAUAGUUAUGGAUUUUCGUAUCCAACAUUUGAUCGUUUUUCUUAUUUAAAAAAAUAUAAUUAAUAUUUUUUAUUGUUAUUAGAUGACAAAACAUAAAUAAUACUUUAUGCGUGACUUAUUUUUUUCUAAAUUUUUUAUAAAUUUUUCAAAUAAGACGGAUAAUGAGAUGAAUGGAGUAAGACUGUGAGAGCGAGCAAA
rnacentral:pre_miRNA from 1 species